GGGCAAAGCGGGUACCUUCACAUGUACCCAUUUCUUCUUCCUUUGAGAGAUGCCGGAGCCACUGGCCUUGCAGUUGUUCUCUGUCCCAGGGGCAAUACUCCCCUUCUACAGCAGGGGGAGCCAGACACCCACAGACAGCACCAAGAAUCCCACAGCGGGACAGAGUGGAGAAGGGAAUGGAGGGAGGAGAGAGAACAGAGAGCAGAGUUAUCCCAGCUGCAAGCAAGAGUGUCCUGCCACUUGUCCACUUGGGCAUCCAGGCUCGAAGUUCUUGGAGGCCUCCAGCUCCUCUUUACUCCUCCCCUUCAGCAGGGCAUGGAUCCUUACUGCCUCCUUCCAGGGAACCCCGCCCAGGUCGGAGGUGGGGAGCUGAUCCUCUUCCUCCUCCUCCUCCUCCUCCUCUUCCUCCAUCUCGGACUCAGAACUGCUGAGAGAAAGAAACCACACACUUUGAGUGAAGGGAUGAGAGUGCGUGGAGAAGAGCACAAGGCCAGCUCAGCUUGGGGUGAAAGCAGUGCUACGUUCAAUGACUCCUGCAGAGACAAAAACCUGACCUCUGCCCUGCUUCAGGCCCCACUGAGGAGGAUGCAGUCAUUCGUGCCUUUGCUAAACAGGCCUCCGACCUGUUUCAGAGUCAGGAGACUCGGUCCUCCGCCAGAGGUACGCGCUGGACCAGGCUGGAGAAGAGUCUGCCUUCACGAAAGAGUUGAAUUUUAUGACACAGGACUAACUCUGGGCCCAAGCUCCACAGGGGUGAGGAGAGCACUGGCUCCCUGUAAAGCUGCUGCUAGCGGGGGUUAGUUCCUCACAACCCCUUGUUACGUGGGAGUGAGUCGAAGCACACGCUGGAAGGCAGGCAGCGGUGCUCAUUUUAGGAACUGGGUCUGAUGGGAGGAACUACGGUGACCUGGCCACACUCAGUCUGAAUAGAGGGAAUGGUUACACCAGGAAGACCAAAGACUUUUCUUCCCCCAGGAGAAGGGGGGGGCCUUUAGGUUGACCUGAAGACUACAGAUCAACCACAUGGACUAGCAAAACUUACUAUGUUACAUAAUGGAGUGGCAAUAAAAACUCCAAAGGCCUGAGUGAAUGCGACAUCACAUGUUUUGGAAACCGGGACAGCAAGGCUAUCCUGACUCCAUGGGAGCAGGACAGUGGAAGCUCUGAGUCUGGCCGUUUCCUGGAUGCCACCAUGAGAAAAUCUUUCCAUGGUGGAGUCCUGAACCUCUGCAUCCUUCCCCCCACUGUAAAGGCCCUAGCCGGAGCACGGUAGCUUCCAGCAAGUUCUGACUUCCUCUCAAGUGGCUGAGUCUCAGGGUGCUUCUGGCAAAGUCACACUGGUGAGCCGGGUCGGAAAUGAGCACGCAUCUUGUCUGCUGGCUCGCUUCUCGUGGGAACACGCUGCUGUCUCUACCGCAGGCUGCA